CCUACGGGGGGCAGCAGUGGGGAAUAUUGGACAAUGGGGGGAACCCUGAUCCAACCAUGCCGCGUGUGUGAAGAAGGCCCUCGGGUUGUAAAGCACUUUCAGUGAGGAAGAACGCCUGGUGGUUAAUACCCAUCAGGAAAGACAUCACUCACAGAAGAAGCACCGGCUAACUCCGUGCCAGCAGCCGCGGUAAUACGGAGGGUGCGAGCGUUAAUCGGAAUUACUGGGCGUAAAGCGCGCGUAGGUGGCUUGAUAAGCCGGUUGUGAAAGCCCCGGGCUCAACCUGGGAACGGCAUCCGGAACUGUCAAGCUAGAGUGCAGGAGAGGAAGGUAGAAUUCCCGGUGUAGCGGUGAAAUGCGUAGAGAUCGGGAGGAAUACCAGUGGCGAAGGCGGCCUUCUGGACUGACACUGACACUGAGGUGCGAAAGCGUGGGUAGCAAACAGGAUUAGAUACCCGAGUAGUC
rnacentral:rRNA from 1 species